rnacentral:rRNA from 1 species
UACAGAGGGUGCAAGCGUUAAUCGGAAUUACUGGGCGUAAAGCGUGCGUAGACGGUUAUGUAAGUCAGGUGUGAAAGCCCAGGGCUCAACCUUGGAAUUGCAUUUGAGACUGCAUAGCUAGGGUGCGGAAGAGGGAAGCGGAAUUUCCGGUGUAGCGGUGAAAUGCGUAGAUAUCGGGGAGGAACACCUGUGGCGAAAGCGGCGCACUGGACCACAACUGACGCUGGAGGCGACGAAAGCCUAGGGGAGCAAACAGG